UACGGGGGGUGCGAGCGUUGUCCGGAAUCACUGGGCGUAAAGGGCGCGUAGGUGGCUUUGUAAGUUUGCGGUGAAAGCCUGGGGCUCAACCCCGGGUCGGCCGUGCGAACUGGGGGGCUGGAGCACUGUAGAGGCAGGCGGAAUUCCGGGUGUAGCGGUGGAAUGCGUAGAGAUCCGGAAGAACACCGGUGGCGAAGGCGGCUCACUGGCUCGUUUCUGACGCUCAGGCGCGACAGCGUGGGGAUCAAACAGG
rnacentral:rRNA from 1 species